UAUUUGAGUUACUAGGAUAUCUAGUGGCGACGGUGAGUACACGUGAGCAACCUGCCUUGGAGAGAGGGAUAGCUUCUGGAAACGGAUGGUAAUACCUCAUAACAUACAUGGACCGCAUGAUCUGUGUAUCAAAGAUUUAUCACUCUGAGAUGGGCUCGCGUCUGAUUAGCUAGAUGGUGAGGUAACGGCUCACCAUGGCGACGAUCAGUAGCCGGACUGAGAGGUUGAACGGCCACAUUGGGACUGAGACACGGCCCAGACUCCUACGGGAGGCAGCAGUGGGGAAUAUUGCACAAUGGGGGAAACCCUGAUUGCAGCGAUGCCGCGUGGAGGAAGAAGGUUUUCGGAUUGUAAACUCCUGUCUUAAAGGACGAUAAUGACGGUACUUUAGGAGGAAGCUCCGGCUAACUACGUGCCAGCAGCAGC
rnacentral:rRNA from 1 species